AUGAACGCUGGCGGCGUGCCUCAUACAUGCAAGUCGCGCGAACAGAUAAGGAGCUUGCUCCUUUGACGUUAGCGGCGGACGGGUGAGUAACACGUGGGUAACCUACCUAUAAGACUGGAAUAACUCCGGGAAACCGGGGCUAAUGCCGGAUAACAUUUAGAACCGCAUGGUUCUAAAGUGAAAGAUGGUUUUGCUAUCACUUAUAGAUGGACCCGCGCCGUAUUAGCUAGUUGGUAAGGUAACGGCUUACCAAGGCAACGAUACGUAGCCGACCUGAGAGGGUGAUCGGCCACACUGGAACUGAGACACGGUCCAGACUCCUACGGGAGGCAGCAGUAGGGAAUCUUCCGCAAUGGGCGAAAGCCUGACGGAGCAACGCCGCGUGAGUGAUGAAGGUCUUCGGAUCGUAAAACUCUGUUAUUAGGGAAGAACAAAUGUGUAAGUAACUGUGCACGUCUUGACGGUACCUAAUCAGAAAGCCACGGCUAACUACGUG
rnacentral:rRNA from 1 species